rnacentral:rRNA from 1 species
UACGUAGGGUGCAAGCGUUAAUCGGAAUUACUGGGCGUAAAGCGUGCGCAGGCGGCUAUGCAAGACAGAUGUGAAAUCCCCGGGCUAACCUGGGAACUGCAUUUGUGACUGCAUGGCUAGAGUACGGUAGAGGGGGAUGGAAUUCCGGCGUGUAGCAGUGAAAUGCGUAGAUAUGCGGAGGAACACCGAUGGCGAAGGCAAUCCCCUGGACCUGUACUGACGCUCAUGCACGAAAGCGUGGGGAGC